rnacentral:lncRNA from 1 species
GAUUCCAGAUAAAAUAUUGGAAGCUACAAGAAGUCAAAUGUUGAAAAUAGUGAUCAACAUGAUAUAUACAGAUAUAGGUUCUGAAGUGUUCUCAAGUUCUUAGAUUUCAUCUGCAUGCUGGCUGUGUCUAGACCCUAUCCUGGAGGAAAAUCAGGCAUGUACCAAACUUAACCUUUACAUCUCUGCAUCAAGAUGGCCAUUAAUGUGUGGAAGACCAUAGUCUUUUCUAAUUGGGCAUUCUUCUCUGCAUUACAGAGUUGCCCUUUUACCUGUUCAGUGUAA